GACGUAGUGGCGAAGUGGUUAACGCGACGGUCUGCAAAACCGUUACGCGCGGGUUCGACUCCCGCCUACGUCU
rnacentral:tRNA from 1 species